CCUCCCUUCCUCUCACUGGAAGUCAGUUAGUAUACCAGAGGCAUGAAACAAAAAAAAAAAAAUUGUCAAAGUAUUGAAACACUUCGAAAAAAAAGACAAAAUAUUUAGGUUGGUAUACCAGGGGCACGAAAGUUUAGUUGGUGUACCAGGGGCACGAAACAUUGGCCCA